CGGGGUGUGGCGCAGUUGGUAGCGCGCAUGGCUGGGGGUCAUGAGGUCGUGGGUUCAAGUCCCGCCACCCCGACCA
rnacentral:tRNA from 1 species